rnacentral:rRNA from 1 species
ACUCCUACGGGAGGCAGCAGUGAGGAAUCUUGCGCAAUGGGCGAAAGCCUGACGCAGCGACGCCGCGUGGGGGACGAAGGCCUUCGGGUCGUAAACCUCUGUCGGGAGGGAAGAAUGUCUUCGGGGUGAACAAUCCCGGAGGCUGACGGUACCUCCAAAGGAAGCGCCGGCUAACUCCGUGCCAGCAGCCGCGGUAAU